AGAGAAUGCAACUAGAAAGUGAGCUGGGAAGGAUGGAAACGCUCGUUCCGGCUAGGAGAUCUUUACUGAAAGACCGGAAGACUGCGUGACAUGCGGAUACGUACGAAGCUCGCGCUCCGAGGCCGCGGGAGAGAAAGAGCGGAACGGAAGAUCUGAAGCAAUCGCCCCAGCGGCACAACGCGGAGCUUCGCGAAUGGACAGCAGGGAGGAGGGAGGCCGCCGGGUUUCCCGCUAGGACAGCCCCGUGGGACAGUGCAGUGGAGAACAGGGCAGGGGGUUCACAGAGAGUCCUGACGGCCCGGAUUGCUCACUCCCCAUUGUGUUAUUUCCUUUAUUACAAGAGGUGGGAAGAGCAGCAACAAAAGUGCAACAGUGGGAAAUUUCAAGGCACAAUGGGGCCUGGAAGCGGUGAAUGAGGUCAUGAAUGUAAGGCUUGUGUCGGCCAGGGAUGGCAGAGUCAGCGUGCGUCCCUGCUCAGGGGUCAAGGCGAGGAGCUGGGCCCAGCGAGGAGAGAGGAGGGGUUUUCAGCAGCAGAGCAAAGUCAUGCGCCUCGCCCUACUGUUGGAGGGAGAGUGCCGGAGUAGUGUCCCACUGUGACAGAAUGAAGCUGUAGACCAAGGAGGUAUGAUAAACGUUAACACAGGACUUGGAGAGGAACAUGGUGAAUUUUAUCCUGAUAACUAAGGACCAAAAAAGAAAGACAAAGGAAACAAGGUGAGGGGAGAAAGGGAGACACACCUGAAUGCAGUGAGAACGCCUGAUCAUGUUAAUGAAGACCUUAGGACUUCAUCAAUGAGACAUGAGACCACAGCUUUCGAUGUCAUAACUUUGUAAAACAACAGUAAUAAAAAUGUUUCAAAUGGUAUCUGUUAAAAUUAAGAGUGAUUCAAUUAUGGGGACAACAACCAUACAGAAUUA
rnacentral:lncRNA from 1 species